UACGUAGGGUCCGAGCGUUGUCCGGAAUCAUUGGGCGUAAAAGCGCGCGUAGGCGGCCCGGUAAGUCCGUUGUAAAAGUCGAAGGCUCAACCUUCGAAAGCCGAUGGAUACUGCCGGGCUAGAGUUCGGAAGAGGCGAGUGGAAUUCCUGGUGUAGCGGUGGAAUGCGCAGAUAUCAGGAGGAACACCGGUGGCGAAGGCGGGGUCUCUGGGCCGAUACUGACGCUGAGGAGCGGAAAAGCGUGGGGGGAGCGAA
rnacentral:rRNA from 1 species